rnacentral:lncRNA from 1 species
AGCAUUUUAGUAACCAUAAAUCCCAGACAUAUUCCCAUUAUCUACAGCCUAAAAUAGUCUAUGAUAAACAAACAUUUUAAGACUGGUAGUUCCCACCAGGCAUGUUUCCUCCGCCCAUGUUUGGAGGUGGUGCAUAGUUAUUCUGGUACUGAGGCAUGUUUCCUCCACCCAUGUUUGGAGGUGGAGCAUAGUUAUUCUGGUAAUGAGCAGGCGUGUUACUGGACCACCCUUGAUUUGAUGGCUGCUGCAUCCCUCCUCCCAUGUUUGGUGGAGGCAUCCCUCCUCCUCCCAUGUUGUUUGGUGGUGGCAUCCCUCCUCCUCCCAUGUUGUUCGGUGGUGGCAUCCCUCCUCCCAUGUUGUUCGGUGGUGGCAUCCCUCCUCCUCCCAUGUUGUUUGGUGGUGGCAUCCCUCCUCCUCCCAUGUUGUUUGGUGGUGGCAUCCCUCCUCCUCCCAUGUUGUUUGGUGGCAUCCUUCCUCCUGAAUUAGGAGCAUUCUGCAUGGCAGGAGACAUCUCCCUGUUCUGAUAGGGCUGCUGCAUAUUCUCCCUUCUUCUCUCAUAGUUUCUUGAUCUAUCAUAAUUGCGAGGUCUAUCAUUACGCCGGUUCCUUUCAUUUGCUCUAGCAUUGUUCCUUACCCAUUCCUCAUGAUACUUC